UGGUACCGUCAUCAACGCCCCGUAUUAGGAGACGCCAUUUCUUUCCACCUGAAAGAGCUUUACAACCCAAGGCCUUCUUCACUCACGCGGCAUGGCUGGAUCAGGGUUGCCCCCCAUUGUCCAAAAAUUCCCC
rnacentral:rRNA from 1 species